UUUUAUAUUAAACCAUCCCUUUAUCUUUUCUUUUCCACAAACCUUAACACCAAAACUAUCUAACAAAUAAACUUAUUUUUAAAUGUCUCAAAGUUUAAAAUAAAAGUUGUUGCUGCUUUGGUUUGAUUUCAAAUAGUUUUCAAAAUCUGGUUGGAAAACAAAAAGAGAAAAAGGUGAAACCUAGUCUACCCAGGCCUUCCUCUUUUCUUUCUCAUUCUGGCCUUUCUUUUCUCAUCCGGAGCAGCCCAGCCGCAGUAGCCGAUCUCCUCAAUCUGGCCCAUCCUACCCAUCGAAGGGGUAAGCUCCUUUUCUGGAUUGUCGUCUUCUCUCCGUGAGCACGCAGGAGUCGUGACCACUCCCAUGGCCGACGUCACUGCGCACCACCGCGCCUCCAUCUCCUUUUCCCCAUCCCUUAAAUCCCUCUCCAGCCCUCAUGAAACCCUAGCCCCUCUCCCCUCCUGCCGCCGCCACUUCCUCUGUCUCCCCUCCACCUUCUUCUUCUUCACGCAACGAAGAAAACGAACAAGGAACCAUGGCCGGCCUUACAGUGAGCUCGACCGUGCCGUCGCCAUGGGCGCUCCCUCGGCGAGCCGAGACUACCGGAAGAUGCGCCUCGCCGCCCUCGUCAUCCUCGCCAAAGGAAUCGAGUUGGUUCCGCUCCAAUCGACGCCAAGGUCGCCGUUUCUCCGCCACGGCCACCGCGCUCCGGCGAACAUUCCGGCCGCCACCGAGCUCCCCCGACCUUGCUGAGUCCUCCAACACGUUCCUGGACCUCGUCGGCGGCGCUACUCCGGCGACCCCCAGGACUCCGCACCGCCACCAACAGGUUCAUCUCGUCGAGGCGCACGUUCGACGACAUCUCCUUCGUCCCGGUUCGUCGUGAAACGUCAGGGCCGAGCUCGCCGUCCUUUUCCGCCAUGGCUGUUUAUGUCCCAGAGCUCCGCGUCACUUUGACUCAAAACGUUGCGUGCUUCCAUCUAAUCAACAUCAGACACAGCAGCCCAGUGAUCUUGUGUUAGGAACGUUUCAGUUUGUGCCUUAAAUCCCAAUCGUUUUGUUCUCCAGCUACACUGACCGGCCACGGCCAUCUCUCCCAGGCGCAGCACAGUUCCGAAGCAAGGUCCGGCCCGGUUCUAAUACACCUCUGUGCUAACCUUUCUUUUUGCAAAAUCUUGAUUAUAUCAUAUCUUGUGAUUGGUAAAUCCAAAUAAUACAAAUAAAAUAUCUAUUUUUAUCAGAAAAAUGUGAGGAAUCUGAAUAUGCCAUCCAUAUAAUUGUUUGCAUCUCGCAUCAUGUGGUUCCGUUAUAGUUUGCAUCGCACCUAAUAAUUAAACGCGGAGUAUUUGGGAAUUACCGACUACGGUUCCUCGCUCCGUUUAAAUUUGAAGUAGCGCACCCCUGCCAUGUCUUGCCAUGCUAACCAACAUUUAA